UUGAUAAGCGUGAGGUCGGAAGUUCAAGUCUUCCCAGGCCCACCAUUUUGAUCGAGUGCGGAGCAUUCGUCUUCUGGUACGGGGCCAUAGCUCAGCUGGGAGAGCGCGUGCUUUGCAAGCAUGAGGUCGUCGGUUCGAUCCCGUCUGGCUCCACCAGAUGGAAUUGAAGCUCGAGAGUGCCUCGUCAAAUUCGUCCGCGAAACAUCACUUCGCACUCAUUGGUCCGGAUGGACGGUGACGUGCGUGUUUUCUGACAUCGUAAAGAGGAGAUCGAUCCGAGUUUGGAUCUGCGAAGCAAUUCGCGGGUACCAUUCCUAAUCUCCAGAUCGUUUUCGGCGCUCGUUCAUCGCUACUCAUCGCAAGAUGAGUGAGAUGAGUGAGUUGUAAAACGAUCUUUGUAGCCGAAGCUUGACCGCCUCGCUAUCGGGCCGAUCUUACGAAGCAAGCUGGUCUUUCUAGUCAAUGUCCGGCUGUGCAAUCGCAUUCAUCGAGGAUGCGCGCCUGGGACUUCGGUCUUUGGGCAAUUACACAGACAACAUUCUGCCGAGUGUGUGGACAUUGAUAAUGAGAGC
rnacentral:tRNA from 1 species